rnacentral:rRNA from 1 species
CCUACGGGGUGCAGCAGUGGGGAAUAUUGCACAAUGGGCGCAAGCCUGAUGCAGCCAUGCCGCGUGUGUGAAGAAGGCCUUCGGGUUGUAAAGCACUUUCAGCGGGGAGGAAGGCGUUAAGGUUAAUAACCUUGUCGAUUGACGUUACCCGCAGAAGAAGCACCGGCUAACUCCGUGCCAGCAGCCGCGGUAAUACGGAGGGUGCAAGCGUUAAUCGGAAUUACUGGGCGUAAAGCGCACGCAGGCGGUCUGUCAAGUCGGAUGUGAAAUCCCCGGGCUCAACCUGGGAACUGCAUUCGAAACUGGCAGGCUAGAGUCUUGUAGAGGGGGGUAGAAUUCCAGGUGUAGCGGUGAAAUGCGUAGAGAUCUGGAGGAGUACCGGUGGCGAAGGCGGCCCCCUGGACAAAGACUGACGCUUAGGUGCGAAAGCGUGGGGAGCAAACAGGAUUAGAUACCCGGGUAGUC